CGCAGAAUAGCGAUUCGCGACGGCCGAUAGUCUGCAAUUAUAUCGUUUGAAACAGUGCGAGAUGAGCGAGAAAUAAAGAGAGGUAUGGUAGCAUGUGGAGAGAAAUAACGAGUCAACCCAUCGACAGGAGAAUGGAUUUCGAGUGCACAUCUGGUAAUGCAGCAAUGGCUCUUGGACGUGUCAGAGAUUACUCGGAAUACAAGUAAUUGCCGGAUGAGAAUCUCCCAGUAAAUUUUCUCUCUUCAUGUAGCUCUGAGACUUGGCAUUUGUCAAACCCUUCGGAUGAUACCAUAAUAAAGAACAUCGUCUUCAGCCGAGUGUUCAACCUCUGGUAUUUUCAUCGUUAUUUAUACGACAACAUGAGUGCAAAUGGUGGAGCAGUUAACGAGGAUAAAGCCUUAUCUAGAGUCGACGGUCGCCGAAGGCCUCGAGGCGCAUCCUCAUCUCUUGGGUAUUAGUCCAGGUGGAAGGCCCAGGCAAUCGCCGCAAUUAAUCCGAAAAUUAUGAAAUAAUUCCAGGGGAUCGGGUGAACAAUAAUCAACGGAUUUUCCACCGAGAAUUAUUGGAAUUGUCAGAUUAAUACUCUCAGAUAAUCAUUACAGAUUGCUCCAAUAACGAUCUAAAUACCAUUAAAGACUUUCCCUCCCCUCUAUUUAAUUUUUCAUUUAAAAUCCGUCACUUCUUUUUAUCCCGAUGUCAUGAAAAUAUAAAUUUAAUGCUCUUGAUUGGGAAUUCUAUUUCUUCAUACCAGUAAUAAAUUGCAAUUACAAGUU